rnacentral:rRNA from 1 species
GAUGAACGCUGGCGGCGUGCUUAACACAUGCAAGUCGAGCGGAAAGGCUCUGCGUAUGUUGGGUGCUCGCGGGGCGAACGGGUGAGUAUCACGUGAGUAUCCUUCUCUUGACUUUGUGAUAACUUCACGAAACCGGGGCUAAUACCUGGGAGGAGCUCCUGCAGCAUGGGGGGCGGUGGAACGGUCCGGCGGUUGGGAAAGGACGCGCGGUUUAUCAGCUUGUUGGGGGGGUAGUGACUUACCAAGGCUUUGAUGGGUAGCCGGCCUGAGAGGGUGACCGGCCACAUAGGGACUGAGGUACGGCGCAGACGCCGACGGGGGGCAGAAGUGGGGAAUAUUGCACAAGGGGCGGAAGGCGGAUGCAGAAAGCCCGCGUGCGGGAAAACGGCCUUCGGGGUAUAAACCGCUUUCGCCUGUGAAGAAGCGUGAGUGAAGGUAAUGGGUAGAGAAGCCCCGGGUAACUACGUG